AAACAACUCUCAGCAACGGAUAUCUUGGCUCUUGCAACGAUGAAGAACGCAGCGAAAUGCGAUACGUAGUGUGAAUUGCAGAAUUCCGCGAAUCAUCGAGUCUUUGAACGCAAGUUGCGCCCGAGGCUUGUCCGAGGGCAUUUCCGCUAGAGCGUCAC
rnacentral:rRNA from 18 species